GGCGAGAUGUGUGAGUGGUCUAAACAGCUGUCUUAAGGUAAUCUUAGUAUUACGUAAGCAUCGGCAGUCCUCCGGGGCGUGGGUUCGAAUCCCACUCUCGUCA
rfam:Cryptococcus neoformans var. neoformans JEC21 chromosome 9 sequence.